rnacentral:rRNA from 1 species
GUGUCAGCAGCCGCGGUAAGACGAACCGUGCGAACGUUAUUCGGAAUCAUUGGGCUUAAAGGGCGCGUAGGCGGCGAUAUAAGUUGGAAGUGAAAUCCCAUCGGCUCAACCGUGGAAUAGCUCCCAGUACUGUAUCGCUCGAGGGGGAUAGGGGUCUGCGGAACUACCGGUGGAGCGGUGAAAUGUGUUGAUAUCGGUGGGAACGCCAGUGGCGAAAGCGGCAGACUUGACCCUUCCUGACGCUGAGGCGCGAAAGCUAGGGGAGCAAACGGGAUUAGAUACCCUAGUAGUCC